rnacentral:rRNA from 1 species
AACGAACGCUGGCGGCAUGCCUAACACAUGCAAGUCGAACGAGACCUUCGGGUCUAGUGGCGCACGGGUGCGUAACGCGUGGGAACCUGCCCUUAGGUUCGGAAUAACUCUCCGAAAGGGGUGCUAAUACCGGAUCAUGUCUUCGGACCAAGGAUUUAUUGCCUUUGGUUGGGCCCGCGUUGGAUUAGCUUGUUGGUAGGGUAAAAGCCUACCAAGGCGACGAUUCAUAGCUGGUCUGAGAGGAUGAUCAGCCACACUGGGACUGGGACGCGGCCCAGACUCCUACGGGAGGCAGCAGUGGGGGAUAUUGGACAAUGGGCGAAGGCCUGAUCCAGCAAUGCCGCGUGAGUGAUGAAGGCCUUAGGGUUGUAAAGCUCUUUUACCCGGGAUGAUAAUGACAGUACCGGGAGAAUAAGCUCCGGCUAACUCCGUG